rnacentral:rRNA from 1 species
UGCCCUGUGACUAUAUGUUUAACGGCCGCGGUAUUUUGACCGUGCGAAGGUAGCGCAAUCACUUGUCUUUUAAAUGGGGACCUGUAUGAAUGGCAUAACGAGGGCUUGACUGUCUCCUCUUUCAAGUCAAUGAAAUUGAUCUCCCCGUGCAGAAGCGGGGAUAAACACAUAAGACGAGAAGACCCUAUGGAGCUUUAGACACUAAAGCAGAUCAGCAUUAAUUCCCUGAAUAUAGGGCACGAAUAUACUGAAACCCUGCCCUAAUGUCUUAGGUUGGGGCGACCGCGGAGAAAUAAAAAACCCCCGCAAGGACCGAAUGUACUACAUUCACAACCAAGAGCGACAGCUCUAAUUAACAGAUAUUUCUGACCAAUAAGAUCCGGCAACGCCGAUCAACGAA